CCGAGUUGCGUAGGGCGAUGCA
rnacentral:siRNA from 1 species